AUUGAACGCUGGCGGCAGGCCUAACACAUGCAAGUCGAGCGGAUGAAGGGAGCUUGCUCCUGGAUUCAGCGGCGGACGGGUGAGUAAUGCCUAGGAAUCUGCCUGGUAGUGGGGGAUAACGUCCGGAAACGGGCGCUAAUACCGCAUACGUCCUGAGGGAGAAAGUGGGGGAUCUUCGGACCUCACGCUAUCAGAUGAGCCUAGGUCGGAUUAGCUAGUUGGUGGGGUAAAGGCCUACCAAGGCGACGAUCCGUAACUGGUCUGAGAGGAUGAUCAGUCAAAUGGGAAUUAGAACACGGUCCAGACCCCAAGGGGGGGAAGAAGUGGGGAAAUUUGGAAAAGGGGGGAAAGCCUGAUCCAGCCAUGCCGGGGGGGUGGAGAAGGCUUUCGGAUUGUAAAGCCCUUUAAGUUGGGAGAAAGGGAAGGAAGUUAAAACCUGGCUGUUUUGACGUUACCAACAAAAAAAGCACCGGCUAACUUCGU
rnacentral:rRNA from 1 species